rnacentral:rRNA from 1 species
GAUGAACGCUGGCGGCGUGCCUAAUACUUGCAAGUCGAGCGAACAGAUGAGGAGCUUGCUCCUCUGACGUUAGCGGCGGACGGGUGAGUAACACGUGGAUAACCUACCUAUAAGACUGGGAUAACUUCGGGAAACCGGAGCUAAUACCGGAUAAUAUAUUGAACCGCAUGGUUCAAUAGUGAAAGACGGUUUUGCUGUCACUUAUAGAUGGAUCCGCGCCGCAUUAGCUAGUUGGUAAGGUAACGGCUUACCAAGGCAACGAUGCGUAGCCGACCUGAGAGGGUGAUCGGCCACACUGGAACUGAGACACGGUCCAGACUCCUACGGGAGGCAGCAGUAGGGAAUCUUCCGCAAUGGGCGAAAGCUUGACGGAGCAACGCCGCGUGAGUGAUGAAGGUCUUCGGAUCGUAAAACUCUGUUAUUAGGGAAGAACAAAUGUGUAAGUAACUAUGCACGUCUUGACGGUACCUAAUCAGAAAGCCACGGCUAACUACGU